rnacentral:tRNA from 1 species
GGUUCCGUAGCGUUGAGGUCGUCACAUCUGCUGUACAGGCAGAAAGUCCUGGGUUCAAUUCCCAUUGGAGCCA